rnacentral:lncRNA from 1 species
AUGAUAGCUGGAAAGCACAUAUUUACUUCAGUUUUGCUUUCUUAUUUUUUUUCUUUUCAGUUUGUAUUUACCAAAUUGCCAAAACAGCAGCGAUUUCUGAGAAGCCUGGGUUUCUUCCAAGCUGGAAAGUCCUUUUAUGCCGCUAUGAUCACAAGGAGGCACUCCCUACACUCAAGACCAGAACUCAGCUUCUAAACACUCAAAAGUGAUUAGAAGUUCCCAAUGAAAUGAUGGGAAGUUAAUUACCUUACUCCAUCUGGACUCAUAUGUAGUGCUGUACUGUCCAUGUUGAAAAUAAUGGGACCACAUUUUAACAGUAUGGUUUUAGGUAUGUGUGAAAGCCAUGGGCAACUCUCCAACUACUCAGAUAUUAUAGUGAUAGAGGCUACAUGGGCACUUGUUUAGACAGACAGUUGAACAGAUUUCAAGUGCAAGUCUUCCAAAAUGUGUCUUUUAUAAUACGUUGCUGCUUUUUAACAGCUUGCUGGUGAUAGAUUUUUAAACCUGAAGUAUAUGAAUAAUUCAAGAGAGAAAAUGUUGCACAGUAAUGUUGAUUCAGUAACACUUUAUAUGUUCAUUAGCUAGUGUGCAUUAUAAUUGAACUUUUACAUGUGACAGCCACAUGAAUGCCAAAUGAGUACAUUAUGAUUAAUGUUAUUGCAAUGAAUACCAAAUGAUUUUUUAAUGACUGAGCUGUUACCAUUUUCUUGUUCAUUCUGUGGCAUGCAAAGUUUCAGUUCUUUUUCAAAAUUGAAUCUAAGACAAUGAUAUGAAUGGCUGAUUGUAUUUUAACGAGGAACAUACUUGGUGCUAAGUCAUUAUUCUCCAAAAUCCCAUGGCAAUUUUGUUGACUGUUUGAAAAAAAGCAACAGGUAAAGAAACUGUUUUCCCAUAAGUUGAUAAUGAAUGAAUGAUUACUCAGUUGAAAUUCUUAGAUAGCAGUGAUCCAUGGAUGCUAACCAGACAUAACAAAGAAAAGAAAAUGGAGGUGACUGCUAAGGCAAUAAAUCAUCUUUCUUUUUGCA